rnacentral:rRNA from 1 species
AUUGAACGCUGGCGGAAUGCUUAACACAUGCAAGUCGAGCGGGGUGUAGCAAUACACCUAGCGGCGGACGGGUGAGGAAUACAUAGGAAUCUGCCUCAGAGCGGGGAUAGCCCGGGAACCCGGAUUAAUACCGCAUGAUGUCGCAAGACCAAAGUGGGGACCGCAAGGCCCCACACUCUGAGAUGAGCCUAUGUCCGAUUAGCUAGUUGGCGGGGUAAUAGCCCACCAAGGCGACGAUCGGUAGCUGGUCUGAGAGGACGAUCAGCCACACCGGAACUGAGACACGGUCCGGACUCCUACGGGAGGCAGCAGUGGGGAAUAUUGGACAAUGGGCGCAAGCCUGAUCCAGCAAUUCCGCGUGGGUGAAGAAGGCCUGG